AAGGCCUACAGAUUUGACGACAACACAUCCAAAAUCCAAAUUUUAUCUCGUACCUGUUAGUUUAGACUCGGUGAGGGACAGCGAAGCAAAGAAAUUGAUCAUUGACAUACUAAAUAAGAUAAAUCCUAAACGAAACUACCGGCUCAGGUAAAAAAAUG